rnacentral:rRNA from 1 species
CGUGUAGGUGGUCGGGUAAGUCAGAUGUGAAAGCCUUCUGCUUAACAGAAGAAGUGCAUUUGAAACUGCUCGGCUAGAGUACGGGAGAGGAGAGUGGAAUUCCCGGUGUAGAGGUGAAAUUCGUAGAUAUCGGGAGGAACACCAGUGGCGAAGGCGGCUCUCUGGUCCGAUACUGACGCUGAGACGCGAAAGCGUGGGGAGCAAACAGGAUUAGAUACCCUGGUAGUCCACGCCGUAAACGAUGGGCACUAGGUGUAGGAGGUAUUGACCCCUUCUGUGCCGAAGCUAACGCAUUAAGUGCCCCGCCCGGGGAGUACGGCCGCAAGGCUAAA